rnacentral:rRNA from 1 species
ACCGGCGCACGGGUGCGUAACGCGUAUGCAACCUACCCUGUACAGGGGGAUAGCCCGUGGAAACAUGGAUUAAUACCCCAUAAUAUUAUAAUAUCGCAUGGUAUAUUAAUUAAAGUUCCGGCGGUACAGGAUGGGCAUGCGUAUGAUUAGCUAGAUGGUGAGGUAACGGCUCACCAUGGCGACGAUCAUUAGCGGGUCUGAGAGGAUGAUCCGCCACACUGGUACUGAGACACGGACCAGACUCCUACGGGAGGCAGCAGUAGGGAAUAUUGGUCAAUGGACGAGAGUCUGAACCAGCCAUGCCGCGUGAGGGAAGACGGCCUUCUGGGUUGUAAACCUCUUUUAUCAGAGAACAAAAAGUCCCUGCGGGGAAAAUUGAGUGUAUCUGAAGAAUAAGCACCGGCUAACUCCGUGCCAGCAGCCGCGGUAAUACGGAGGGUGCAAGCGU